AUGUCCCCCACUAUAGUAGUGGGGGACAUAUUGUUUUUGCCCUGUCUGUCUGUUGGUCUGUCUGUCUGUUUGCGCCAACUUUAACAUUUUGCAAUAACUUUUGCUAUAUUGAAGAUAGCAACUUGAUAUUUGGCAUGCAUGUGUAUCUCAUGAAGCUGCACAUUUUGAGUGGUGAAAGGUCAAGGUCAAGGUCAUCCUUCAAGGUCAGAGGUCAAAUAUAUGUGGCCAAAAUCGCUCAUUUUAUGAAUACUUUUGCAAUAUUGAAGAUAGCAACUUGAUAUUUGGCAUGCAUGUGUAUCUCAUGGAGCUGCACAUUUUGAGUGGUGAAAGGUCAAGGUCAUCCUUCAAGGUCAGAGGUCAAUUAUAUGUGGCCAAAAUCGCUCAUUUUAUGAAUACUUUUGCAAUAUUGAAGAUAGCAACUUGAUAUUUGGCAUGCAUGUGCAUCUCAUGGAGCUGCUCAUUUUGAGUGGUGAAAGGUCAAGGUCAAGGUCAUCCUUCAAGGUCAGAGGUCAAAUAUAUGUGGCCAAAAUCGCUCAUUUUAUGAAUACUUUUGCAAUAUUGAAGAUAGCAACUUGAUAUUUGGCAUGCAUGUGUAUCUCAUGGAGCUGCACAUUUUUAGUGGUGAAAGGUCAAGGUCAAGGUCAUCCUUCAAGGUCAGAGGUCAAAUAUAUGUGGCCCAAAUCGCUUAUUUUAUAAAUACUUUUGCAAAAUUGAAGAUAGCAACUUGAUAUUUGGCAUGGAUGUGCAUCUCAUGGAGCUGCACAUUUUGAGUGGUGAAAGGUCAAGGUCAAGGUCAUCCUUCAAGGUCAGAGCUCAAAUAUAUGUGGCCGAAAUCGCUUAUUUUAUGAAUACUUUUGCAAUAUUGAAGAUAGCAACUUCAUAUU